UUCGAUCAAAUAAGUGUGAAAAGGUCGCAGGAAAGCAGGCAGCUGAGUGCAUGACCAUAUGAUGACCACUCUGCAUUCCCUUGGUGGGCUGAUGUUCCACUUGAUGAGAGCUGAUUGGCUGAAUGCUCCAGCACCCCCCCUCGCGACCCUGACGGAGAAGCGGCUUAGAAAAUGGAUGGA